GACGGAAGGUGCAAGCGUUGCUCGGAAUCACUGGGCGUAAAGGGUGCGUAGGCGGCCGUGCAAGUCUGGCGUGAAAGCCCCGGGCUCAGCCCGGGAAGUGCGCUCGAAACUGCGCGGCUCGAGUGCCGGAGGGGAGAGUGGAAUUCCUGGUGUAGCGGUGAAAUGCGUAGAUAUCUGGAGGAACACCGGUGGCGAAGGCGGCAUCCUGGACCGACACUGACGCUGAGGCGCGAAAGCUAGGGUAGCAAACGGG
rnacentral:rRNA from 1 species